rnacentral:rRNA from 1 species
AACGAACGCUGGCGGCAGGCUUAACACAUGCAAGUCGGGCGCCCCGCAAGGGGAGCGGCAGACGGGUGAGUAACGCGCGGGAAUCUACCCAUCUCUACGGAAUAACGCAUGGAAACGUGUGCUAAUACCGUAUACGUCCUUCGGGAGAAAGAUUUAUCGGAGAUGGAUGGGCCCGCGUUGGAUUAGCUAGUUGGUGGGGUAAAGGCCUACCAAGGCGACGAUCCAUAGCUGGUCUGAGAGGAUGAUCAGCCACACUGGGACUGAGACACGGCCCAGACUCCUACGGGAGGCAGCAGUGGGGAAUAUUGGACAAUGGGCGCAAGCCUGAUCCAGCCAUGCCGCGUGAGUGAUGAAGGCCCUAGGGUUGUAAAGCUCUUUCACCGGUGAAGAUAAUGACGGUAACCGGAGAAGAAGCCCCGGCUAACUUCGUGCCAGCAGCCGCCGUAAUAC